rnacentral:rRNA from 1 species
AUUGAACGCUGGCGGCAGGCCUAACACAUGCAAGUCGAGCGAGCGGCGGACGCGUGAGUAAUGUAUGGGGACUGCCCGUUAGAGGGGGGUAUAUACUGGAAACGGUAGCUCAUACCGCAUACUCUCUGAUUACCCAUAUGGGUUUAGCUAGUAGGUGAGGUAAUGGCUCACCUAGGCGACGAUCCCUCGCUGUUCUGAGAGGAUGAUCAGCCACACUGGGACUGAAACACGGUCCAGACUCCUACGGAGGCAGCAGUGGGGAAGAUUGCACAAUGGGCGCAAGCCUGAUGCAGCCAUGCCGCGUGUAUGAAGAAGGCCCUAGGGUUGUAAAGUACUUUCAGUCGGGAGGCGUUACCGACAGAAAAAGCAACGGCUAACUCCGUGCCAGCAGCCGCGGUAAUUC